AUGCGAUGAGUCGAUUAUGGUUAAAGCCAUAUUUCGCUAAGGAGGUCAAAACGCAGAAAGCGGAUCUUGAAUAGUUGUGUGAACCUGCUAUUCUCACUGGAAACAGUGCCUUUGAAGCAAGAACGAAAAUCUUGCUUCUUUUU
rnacentral:sRNA from 1 species